rnacentral:ncRNA from 1 species
CUGUUAGGAGUAGCCCCUCUUGACUUGGAGAUCAGGCGUCGAGCCUUGAUGUACAGGAUCAAGAGGCGGCUGCCAUUGCUGCAGAAUGAUUGGCUAGCGGGUAGGGAUGUGGAGAGUUUAGGGCUUAGUGAAUGCAAGAGAUUGGUGAAAGAGUGUGUUUUGUCUGACUGGCAAGUCAGAUGGGACACUAGCGUGAAUGGGCGUGUCACUCAUCGGUUUAUACGGGAGGUUACAUUUGCCGGCAGCCGACCAGACUUUGGGUUCGGCCUGAGUCUUGGAUUCCUGUUGACUGGUCACGGUUCCCUCAAUGCAUUCUUGCAUUCGAGGAACCUUUAUGACAGUCCAGAAUGCCGUUGUGGCUCGGCUGCUGAGACAUGGGAGCAUGUUCUCUGUGAGUGCACAAGGUAUGCAGAUUUUCGAGAUCUGAGGGGGAUGGGUAUAAGUGAGGUUAGUGGCGGGUUUGACGUAAGUCAAUCACUCUCCACUAGUGAUAGGGUUAGAAGAAUGAGUGAGUUUGCUAGAGCUGCAUUUUCCAGGCGACGUUUGCAAUUGCAGGAAGGAAUUGUAUGAAUGAUGAUGGAUGGUAGAUGUGAGAAUGUGGGGGUACGAAUGUGGGGGUGUUUCUGAAUGGUAAUUUUUGUUGAACAUUGUGUUGUGAUGGGGCUACCAACCCUUAACUGUUUUGGAGUUUAAAUUGGAAGUGCCCUUCUGGUACGAUGCCUGACCGGAGGCUUUUAAUCUGGUACCACGGGUAACCAGGAGCCCACGGAACUUGUUCCGUCCUGGUUAGUUGGUGCGGCCCUUCGGGGAGUAUCGUGGUGGUUGUGGUUUAACACCCAAAUGCGGGUAGAGCAUCGCUCGACGUGGAGUUGCGUCAUACAACCGGGUUCCGUGACCCAGAUUACGGAAGAGGCUUAGAUAGUCCUCGUGCCAAACCAAGGUAGAAGUCACAACCAAACAGUCGUGUCUUUAAUUGGUACCUGCGGAAUUGUUCCAAGGGGGCGGUGAUUGACGCUUGAAUUAAUCCUAUACUAGGAACCGUGAGAUUAAGCCAUCGCGGCAGGUGCUCACGUUAAGCCCACUGACUUUCAUGUCCCUAUCUACUAUCUAGCGAAACCACAGCCAAGGGAACGGGCUUGGAAUAAUUAGCGGGGAAAGAAGACCCUUUUGAGCUUGACUCUAAUCUGGCAGUGUAAGGAGACAUAAGAGGUGUAGAAUAAGUGGGAGAUAUUAGACUUCGGUUUGGUAUCGACAAUGAAAUACCACUACUCUUAUUGUUUCCUUACUUACUUGAUUAAAUGGAACGUGUAUCAUUUCCUAGCCAUUAUACGGAUAUAAUUAUUAUGUCUUAUGGUAUUGGGUUUUGAUGCAAGCUUCUUGAUCAAAGUAUCACGAGUUUGUUAUAUAAUCGCAAACAAAUUCUUUAAUGAGAGAAUGCAUUUAUGUAUUAUUGAUUUAAAAAUUUGG